GAUGAACGCUGGCGGCGUGCCUAAUACAUGCAAGUCGAGCGAACAGACGAGGAGCUUGCUCCUCUGACGUUAGCGGCGGACGGGUGAGUAACACGUGGAUAACCUACCUAUAAGACUGGGAUAACUUCGGGAAACCGGAGCUAAUACCGGAUAAGAUAUUGAACCGCAUGGUUCAAUAGUGAAAGACGGUUUUGCGGUCACUUAUAGAUGGAUCCGCGCCGCAUUAGCUAGUUGGUAAGGUAACGGCUUACCAAGGCAACGAUGCGUAGCCGACCUGAGAGGGUGAUCGGCCACACUGGAACUGAGACACGGUCCAGACUCCUACGGGAGGCAGCAGUAGGGAAUCUUCCGCAAUGGGCGAGAGCCUGACGGAGCAACGCCGCGUGAGUGAUGAAGGUCUUCGGAUCGUAAAACUCUGUUAUUAGGGAAGAACAAAUGUGUCAGUAACUAUGCACGUCUUGACGGUACCUAAUCAGAAAGCCACGGCUAACUACGUG
rnacentral:rRNA from 1 species